ensembl:lncRNA
AUGAAGGCGGCGCCGUCUCUGCAGGACUCUUCAGCCCGGGACGUCCCGCACCGACACGGACAGAAAAGUGCUGGUUCACUUUGGAGAACGCGGCGCAGAACUUUGGUGCCGACGGGACGACCCGGUCCGAACGGCGCCGAAGAACCAAAGAAUUCAUCACUGAAUCCAGCUGUAGGUCAACCAGGCCAGAACCAGUUUCUCCAGAACCCUCUCUCCUCCAGAACUCUCUCCUCAGAACUCUCUCUCCUCCAGAACCCCCUCUCUCCAGAACCCUCUCCUCCAGAACCCUCUUCUCCAGAACCCUCUCCUCCAGAACCCUCUUCUCCAGAACCCUCUCCUCCAGAACCCUCUUCUCCUCCAGAACCCCUCUUCUCCAGAACCCUCUUCUCCAGAACCCUCUCCUCCAGAACCCUCUCUCCUCCAGAACCCUCUCUCCUCCAGAACCCUCUCCCUCCAGAACCCUCUUCUCCAGAACCCUCUCCUCCAGAACCCUCUUCUCCAGAACCCUCUCCUCCAGAACCCUCUUCUCCUCCAGAACCCUCUCCUCCAGAACCCCCUCUCCUCCAGAACUCUCUCUCCUCCAGAACCCUCUUCUCCAGAACCCUCUUCUCCAGAAUCCUUUCUCCUCCAGAACCCUCUCUCCUCCAGAACUCUCUCUCCUCCAGAACCCUCUUCUCCAGAACCCUCUCCUCCAGAACUCUCUUCUCCUCCAGAACCCUCUCUCCUCCAGAACCCUCUUCUCCUCCAGAACCUUUCUCCUCCAGAACCCUCUUCUCCUCCAGAACCCUUUCUCCUCCAGAACCUCUUCUCCUCCAGAACCCUCUCCUCCAGAACCCUCUCUCCUCCAGAACUCUCUCUCCUCCAGAACUCUCUCUCCUCCAGAACCCUCUUCUCCAGAACCCUCUCCUCCAGAACUCUCUCCUCCAGAACCCCCUCUCCUCCAGAACCCUCUCCUCCAGAACCCUCUACUCCAGAACCCUCUCUCCUCCAGAACCCCCUCUCCUCCAGAACCCUCUUCUCCAGAACCCUCUUCUCCAGAACCCUCUCCUCCAGAACCCUCUCUCCUUCAGAACCCUCUCUCCUCCAGAACCCUCUCUCCUCCAGAACCCUCUCCUCCAGAACCCUCUCCUCCAGAACCCCUCUCUCCUCCAGAACCCUCUCCUCCAGAACCCUCUCUCCUCCAGAACUCUCUCCUCCAGAACCCUCUCCUCCAGAACCCUCUCCCUCCAGAACCCUCUCUCCUCCAGAACUCUCUCCUCCAGAACCCUCUCUCCUCCAGAACCCUCACCUCCAGAACCCCCUCUCCUCCAGAACCCCCUCUCCUCCAGAACCCUCUCCUCCAGAACCCUCUACUCCAGAACCCUCUUCUCUAGAACCCUCUCUCCUCCAGAACCCUUUCUCCUCCAGAACUCUCUCCUCCAGAACCCUCUCUCCUCCAGAACUCUCUCCUCCAGAACCCCCUCUCCUCCAGAACCCUCUCCUCCAGAACCCUCUCUCCUCCAGAACCCUCUCCUCCAGAACCCUCUCUCCUCCAGAACCCUCUUCUCCUCCAGAACUCUCUCCUCCAGAACCCUCUCUCCUCCAGAACCCUCUCCUCCAGAACCCUCUCCUCCAGAACCCUCUCUCCUCCAGAACCCUCUUCUCCUCCAGAACCCUCUCCUCCAGAACCUUCGUUCCUUCAGAUUUGCUCACCCGUCACCCUCUCUCCCUCUCUCUCCUCCAGAACUCUCUCUCCUCCAGAACUCUCUCUCCUCCAGAACCCUCUCUCUCCUCCACUGA